rfam:Vibrio rumoiensis 1S-45 1S-45_contig_92, whole genome shotgun sequence.
UGGAACUAAGGAAUAACUUUUUUCGCAUAUAGUUUUCUGCGAAUAGUUGAAAGGAAUCACACUUACCCAAGAUCGAGCAAUGUCGAGGUAAGUUGGAGAUUAUAAGUAAAUAAAAGGACAAA